rnacentral:tRNA from 1 species
GGCGGUGUUUUUGAAUAGAAGUACCAACGGACUGAAAAUCCGUGUGUCACCGGUUCGAUCCCGGUCCUUGCCACCA